CUGAGCGUCUCUGCUCAGUUCUGCGGUCCAGCUGCUCAGGUGUGGCUCCGCGCGGACGGACGGCGUGCACCUUUGAUCCGCCCACUUUUAUUUUUCCGCAGAUGGUGCAUGUGUUUAGUCGUGUGCCCUGAAAGCAGCGUUUACAGUGCGAAGAGCACCGGACGUGUUGGACGCAGGAUGGACGGAGCGGCCCUUGCUUCAUUCAUGAGAUGGAUCAAUAAAGCAACGGUGAUACACGGGAAGAUAUUUCCUGUUUCCUGUGUUUGAAGCAAAUUAUCAGAACUAGAGCUGAAGCAGCUGGUCGACUCAUCCAUUAAGUCAAUCAACAGAAAAUGAAUGGAAUGCAGAGCCUUGUCUGUACCUGCAACUGGAGCAGGGGUGUGGCACUGCUGAUGUGUCCAUGGUGGAAAUAGGACUCAAAACACAUAACUGGCUGCGGAGAGAGGAACCAAAUGUAAAGAGGGUAAACCAGCAUGUGACACUGCUUCCCAGGACAUGUUUUCCUA